AUCAUCACAGAGGGAGUGUGAGUAACUUUAUAUUUGGGGAGAUGAGGCAAAGAGAGACAGUUUCAUAGAGGAAGCAAUUUUAAAUUUAGCUUUUAAAGAAUAAGUAGCAUUUUGACAGGUGGACUAGGAGGUGGGUGGGCAACAGCCAAAAAAAAAGCAAGAGAGAAAGAAAGAUGCUUUAAAAGCCUAAAACAGUAUAAAGCCUCAAUCAUCCGGCUGCCUCCUGGAGCCAUUUUCCUUUGUGGAGUUUGAUAUCACUCCAAGGUGAUAAAGAAUAUGACCAAAGUAUCCUCAUCAAUAGAGAAAGAAGGAGAGAAACUGUAAUUUAUUGACAGCCUGAACUGGGCCUACCUUUUUCAUACACUAUCUCUGUAAUGUCAUUGACAACAUUAUAAGAUACUGGGAGUCAAGAAUCUGUGAAACCAUGGUGCUUUCUGUGGCCUUGGCUGAUUGAAUGUUUAAUGAAUUUCUAGAUGCUCCUGAUGUAAUGAACUUGGAAGGUGAAUGUAUUGAUUAAUUUCCCCCAGAGGGAAACACUAACCAAACAGCAGCUCCUUUUAGGUUCUAAGUCUUCUAUUUUUAUUUUUUAAGAUUAAGUGCCUUGAUGUUCUCUGCCCAUGAAACUGUAGAAUGUCUAGAGUAAAAGGUAAAGCCACACUCAUAAUAAAUAUUUUUGUGUUCAAGUCUAAGCCAAUUCAGGUAGUAAACAAUGUGAGGAGAACAUAAUUAACAUUCUUGGUUUAGUAUCAAGGCCUGAGUCAUUGCCCUGGGAAGGAAGAUGGUGUAUGUGGCAAGAUCUUUAUGAAAGUACAUAUGAAAAGUUGAAAAGACUAAGAAGUAAAACCAAAAGGAGGGAAAAAGCAGUAGUUCAGAGUGUGCAGGGUUUGAAAAUAAAUUUUCAUUCAGCACAGUCCACGUGGCUUGCUGAAUACCGAACAUAUAGAGAAUGAUAUUGAUAUAUAUCCCACUUUCCAGUACAUAUUAACCAAAUAGCCUAACAGAUGCAAAGUUAUGCGAAAUAGUUAAAGCCAUAAUAACGUGUGAAGCAAACAAGUGUCCCAUUUUAAAAGACCUUGUGAUUUUGAGAGUUGAUCAAGGCCUUGUUGUAGCCCCACAAUCUGAAAGGGCUGGGACCUCCACCAGAUAUGGCUCUCUUCCUUCUAUAUUAAAGAAAACAAAAACUUAAGAAAUAAUUUUAAAUAAAUAGACCAUCUUUUCUUCUCAUAUGUAAUUUAUCAACCACAUUUCAUUAUAUUUACAAAUGGUUUCACUUUUCUCCAAAGACAAGAUGCAUUUAAUGUCAGUUUGGGGCAUUAAGAACAAAGCAAGAAGAAUUUCCUAGCUAUUUAUUUGUUCUCCAAAUAACUUUUUUCUUAUUUCUUCAUUUGUCAAAAAGAGAGUGUUUUCAGAUAAAAAGGGUGUAAACCUGGAUGCUCUGAUUGAAGUCAUUUUAAGACUUCUGUCUGGAAAUUACACCGAGGCUAAGCAUGUGGAAAGCUUGCUGUACUCCAAACCAAAACAGCAGGGUCCUGGCUCCACAAAUCCGUUCCACCAGACAACAUUCGUCGCUUGUUAUCCAGAUAUUAUUUUAAAGCAUGUCCCUUUGUGGUCAUUGAAUUGUCUAAGAUAAGGUGAUUGGCUUAUUUGCUGUGUCUUUAUAAUGAGUAUCUUUGCCAGAAUAAUCAUAAGAAAUCCAAUACCGGGUAAUGUUUUUCUAUUUGUAGCACAGGAUUUCAAACCAAUUUCCAAAAAGUAAAUUCCUCAGCAAAUAAUGCAGAUAGGUCUUCUACUUUUUCACUCAUUGUAGUCUUAAGCAGAAAAGCAAUUUGAUUGGUAGCCCAAAUAUCAGUGCUACAAAAUGAAGCUUUCCUCAUGGGAGAAAAGAAGAGCAAUUUGGAUAAUUGGACUUGAAAUUUUACUCUGGCUUGACCCCUUCUGGGCUACGUGAACUUGACCAACACAGUUCAUCUCUAUGAGCCUCAGCUUCCUUCUCUGUACAAUGCCCACCUCACAGGGCAUUUGUCAGGAGAGAAUAAAAUUAUGCCUGUGGAAGGCUCAAACUAGCAAUGUGUGAGCUGGCUCCUGCCCAUGGAUGUGUUUUGCUUGGCUUAUACAAAGUUUCGAACUUUUAAAUUUCAUUGACAACAUUUAAAAAUUAGACAAUUCAUAUUUCUGACUUUUUGUUUUUAAAUCUAAACGCUGCAAAUCUUAAAACUGGCUGGAACUAAGUAUUGGCUCAGACACAUUCCUACCAUCGCCGUUUGUCUUCAUCCAUCCUGCCCAGUCGAUGUUUGCACUUGCAAUCCCCACUAUAAAAAAAUGUUUGAUUACCCUGGUAAUAUCCUGUUCAAGAAAAUUCUCUUAGACAAAGUGAUCUUAAGCACAAAUCAAAAUUCAGUGCUCAGUAACAGGGGACUAGUAAACAGUCAAAAAAAGGAGAGGAAACAGGUGUGUAUCUAGAUGAUAGAGCGUUUAUACAAGUAACUGGACAGUUAAACACAGACACUGGUUUAUUUCACAGAGCUGUAAAACCAACUUUUUUACAAUUGACAUGGAUUGAUAUUUUGGACAUGUGUGAGUUGGAGCCAUCCAUAGAUACGAACGAAUCAUUCAUCAGAAAAAGACCACACAGGUGGAGAUGGUGAGAAGGGGUGUCCUUGAUCUGAGCAUGCUAAGAAAUCGUCAGUAUGUUUCUACCCCUGCUUCCUGCUGCUACUAGCUGGAGAAUGAGAGAAUGGCAGGCAAAGACACAGGAGACUGGAACAUUAGGAAAAUAUUUCAUAUGGGCCCACAUAUUUCAAGCCCAUCAUUAUUCAAUUGAGGAGUUUGAUGUUCCUGAGGAGAGGGAAAUUAUUGCCUCCGAAGAGCUUUGCUGGCAGAAAGGAAAAUAUCACUGCGAUGGUGGUGUACUAAUUAUUUUCAAGUCUGUGCGGGACUCUAAAGCAGGAAGACGGAGAGAACGUUUAUUACAUCUCUCAAGCCCUUCAUUUGGGAAGGGGGGGCUGGUGAUGGGGAGGUAACAAGCUUACCAGGACUGAAGAGAAAUUGUUAUUCUUCAAAGCGCCUUCUCACGAAGGUUUCAAAAUUGUAGAGAAUCUCUUAGAUUCUGAGCUCUUUCCAAAUUUAUUCCUAAGUCAUGAAUACUAUCAUGCCGAGAAAAGGAAAGACGGUUAACUCUAGAAGAAAGAAUUCCAAGGAGGGUAUGAUGUAGGGACAGUUCCCACCAGAGGGGAAAGGCAAGUGCGAGAAGAGGAAAGGGACUUGGCAGAAUAAAUACUGAAGUAAAGAUAAAGCCUGAGACUCUCAGCAUCCCAAUGCUCCCUCCUGUGGGCUCCAGAUGCACUGAGAGGGAAACCAAGGACAAGAUGGGUGGUGGCUGAGAGUGAAUGGUGAAGAGUGAGGUGACUGCUGAGUCCCUGACAAUCGGUGCAAUAAGAAAGAGCUGAAUUGGUACCAAGACAGCAAUGUGGGAACACCAAGUCUUUACUGUGAUAAGAAGACGGCCCUUGAGUUAGAGCAUCUAUGAACACUUCAGAAAUGGAUGCAAGGAGGGCAAAGCCCAGUGCCUAGAGAACAGGCAACAUGAGCUCCAUUUCACCUAUGGAUCAACGGAAGCCGUGAAGAAAGAGAACAUGGAGACAGGAGACUCCCUGAGGCUAUGUGAGCUCCGCUUUGUGUCCAGAUGCCAUCUUUGGAAGAAGAUGAGAGAGGGAAAGCUCUUUCAGAAAGAAAUGCAAACCUCGUUUUACCCCCAAAGGAGACUGUUUACAAUAGGAGAGACUUUAUUAGUUGUAAUUAGAAAGUUUGAAAUAGUUUCUGCCAUCAGUGGAAAUGAGUGGCAAAAAGUUUCUAUUUGUUAUAGAAAUAGAGAAGCGAAAUUCCAUGCACACUUCAGGUUGUAUUGCACUAAAUUUUGAUCCUAUGCUUCAUGCAUUAUUUCAUUUAACCAUUCCAUAAACUCUAUUAUUAUUCCCAUUUUAGAGCAGACCAUACUGAGAUUAAAGGAAUCUAGAUAACUUAGGCAACAUCACAAAGCUAGUAAGUCAUAGAUGUGAAAUUCUGUUUGACCCGAAAGCUGCCUAUUUUAAUCAUCUAGUUUACAAUAGAGGAUAUAUAUUAUUUCUGUGACAAUUUAAGUGACACCAAUAGACUUCAAAUAGAGUCAGCAUAUGAAUUUGUCAUUGGAUAUUCACAGAAUAUGUUAAUUUUUAAAGUUUAAAGGAGAAUGUUGAACCAACAGUUGGUUUUCUUUUUAUCUCUGUCCUCAUCAGGACUCAGUUAUUGAUCCUGCCUACAGACAAAAAGUCAGGCUCCCAUGAAAGUGUUUUCUUCAGAAUCCUUCUAACCCCUCAGAAUGGUAUCACAUGCCUGUUUGUAAUUCUAGUGUUUGAUUCCAACAGUACUCCUUAUCUAGACCUACCACUGUGCAAGAAUGCAAGUCUAAGGAGGCAGAGUUGGGUUAAAUUCCGUCUACCCCCAUUUAUCAAGCUUUGGCAUAGACAACAUCCACCGUAUGAGCCAGUGGUGGUCCUCACAGUAUCUCUGUAUUGGAAAUGUCUGAUUGCCCAAACUCCUCUAGACUCUAGGUCCUGAAGGACUGGAACUGUCUGGCCUCUGUUUAAUCAUUUCAUCCUCUCCUGAAAUUACCUCAUUUCUAGGUGUUUUUCACACUCCAUUCUGUGUCACCCUUUUUGUUCUUUCUCUGAAUGUUAGUUAUUUUACCCAUAGGCAAAGUGCUUGACUUACUAGGCUGAACCACGAUAGGUGUAUGCUAACUACUGUCUUUUAAAUUUGGUAGGAGUGAAUGAAAAAAAGACUUUGAUAUUUUUUGAACUGCAUCCAAAUACAAAACAGAAAUCCAAAGUGUUCUUGGAAAAUAUAUCUUUUCAUGUCUUAAAACUUAUCUCCCAACAGAAUCUAUUUGGGGAGGCGUCAAUGUUCAACUCUGGCCUAGAUAUUUGCCUAAAAUUUGGAUCUUAAGCUUCAGUCUCAGCACUGGCCUUUGAGAGAUUCAUGCUGAAGAUUCAUGUGCAAUUUCAUACUUUUUCUGGUAUCCUUAUAUGCGUGGUGGUCAGAAUGAGGUGAUGACAUAGGUCACCAUCAUACCUAAACAGCAUGACCAGCUCAGUAAAAUGAGCAAGGUGUUUCAUUCUGAUUCAUUGUUCACAUAGGAAUAUUCAUUUUCAAAUACAAGUACACAUUCUAGAUGUACCUUGAAGUGAAAACUCUUCUUAUGUGCUUUGCAUAUGAUAAAACACUGGCAGUCAUUUGAAUAGAAAUGUACAUUUAGUAUUCCAAGGAUAAAAUGCUAUAAAUAUUGAGUGAUUUUGGAACUUGUUAAUGUAGUAUACCAAAUAUUGUUAAGAGCUUUUAAAUAAUUAAAAGAAGGGAACGUGAUUGGUGGAAAAUACUAGGACUACAAUAGAGGGUAUUAGCUGGAUAACUUAAGAAGAAUCUUAUAUUCUUCUUGGAUCAAACUAUAUUUAUAAAAGUUAAAUAAUGCUACAAGGCAUAAAAAGAAAGUUUCAAUUACACCAUACUUCUAAUCCUUAUGGGAUUAUUUGGUGUACUAGUAUUUGCAACCUUAAAUGGGAUAACUUUUAAGAACUGCACUUAAUUUUCACUUGGUUAAUUAUACUUAGGCCUUGAGUCUGUCAAGAAAAAGUUCUAUUGAAGAAUUGUUCCCAUUUUGUAAGAAUGAGUCAAAAGAAGAAUGUCAACUUUCCUAACUUUUUAUAGAAUGGAAAAGCAGAACAAUGUCAUGCAGUUGUCAUUGACAAUGGAACAAACAUGAAGGCUCUGAAUGAUGCAGGCAUCACGAGGAUUCAAUUUUUUCACACUCUCAGCUGUGUGUCUGAAAAGUCAUUACAGCCAUGUGUAAUAUAACAGAUUUGCUGCCUGUGAGCAGAAAGGUAGUAGACAUUUUCCCUAUUCUCUUUCAGCAGUAGAAAAGCUCCAUGACAUCCUAGAAAUGUUGGAACUCCUUGUCUGUACUUUUACAAAAUGUUCAAACAAGAUGCAAUAGUGAGUAUGACACAUUUAAAACAAAAAGAGCUUGAAAUAAAGAAAGCCUUCAUACUGAACUUUGCAAACAAG
ensembl:lncRNA